GGGUCAGUAGGUUGGUCGUGCCACCGGUACGUACUGGUCUCACUGAUUCCUCCUUCCUGAAGAACCGUAAUGCCAUUAAUUUGGUGUUGCGGGGAAGCAGGACUGUUACUUUGAAAAAAUUAGAGUGUUUAAAGCAAGCUAACGCUUGAAUACAUUAGCAUGGAAUAAUGAAAUAGGACGAUCGAUCCUAUUUUGUUGGCUUCUAGGAUUGACGUA
rnacentral:rRNA from 1 species